UCCGUAGGUGGAUUAAUAAGUCAGUGGUGAAAACCUGCAGCUUAACUGUAGAACUGCCAUUGAUACUGUUAGUCUUGAGUACGGUCAAGGUAGGCGGAAUGUGUAAUGUAGCGGUGAAAUGCUUAGAUAUUACACAGAACACCGAUUGCGAAGGCAGCUUACUGGACCAUUACUGACGCUGAGGCACGAAAGCGUGGGGAGCGAACAGGAUUAGAUACCCUGGUAGUCC
rnacentral:rRNA from 1 species